rnacentral:rRNA from 1 species
UACAGAGGUGGCAAGCGUUGUUCGGAAUUAUUGGGCGUAAAGGGCGCGUAGGCGGUGCGGUAAGUCACCUGUGAAACCUCUAGGCUCAACCUAGAGCCUGCAGGCGAAACUGCCGUGCUUGAGGGUGGGAGAGGUGCGUGGAAUUCCCGGUGUAGCGGUGAAAUGCGUAGAUAUCUGGAGGAACACCGGUGGCGAAGGCGGCAUCCUGGACCGACACUGACGCUGAGGAGCGAAAGCCAGGGGAGCAAACGGG